rnacentral:rRNA from 1 species
CCUACGGGAGGCAGCAGUGGGGAAUAUUGCACAAUGGGGGAAACCCUGAUGCAGCGACGCCGCGUGAAGGAAGAAGUAUUUCGGUAUGUAAACUUCUAUCAGCAGGGAAGAAAAUGACGGUACCUGACUAAGAAGCCCCGGCUAACUACGUGCCAGCAGCCGCGGUAAUACGUAGGGGGCAAGCGUUAUCCGGAUUUACUGGGUGUAAAGGGAGCGUAGGCGGUUGAACAAGUCAGAAGUGAAAGCCCGGGGCUUAACUCCGGGACUGCUUUUGAAACUGUUGAACUAGAGUGCAGGAGAGGUAAGUGGAAUUCCUAGUGUAGCGGUGAAAUGCGUAGAUAUUAGGAGGAACACCAGUGGCGAAGGCGGCUUACUGGACUGUAAAUGACGCUGAGGCUCGAAAGCGUGGGGAGCAAACAGGAUUAGAUACCCCUGUAGUC